rnacentral:rRNA from 1 species
AGAGUAUGAUCAUGGCUCAGAACGAACGCUGGCGGCGUGGAUAAGACAUGCAAGUCGAACGAGUUUAGUUUUGUAGCAAUACAAAGCUGAGCUAGUGGCGAACGGGUGCGUAACACGUGAGCAAUCUGCCUUAAAGUGGGGGAUAGCUCGCCGAAAGGCGAAUUAAUACCGCAUGUGGUUGCAAAACUAAAGCCGGGGCAACCUGGCGCUUUUAGAGGAGCUCGCGGCCUAUCAGCUUGUUGGUGAGGUAACGGCUCACCAAGGCUUCGACGGGUAGCUGGUCUGAGAGGACGACCAGCCACACUGGAACUGAGACACGGUCCAGACACCUACGGGUGGCAGCAGUCGAGAAUUUUUCUCAAUGGGGGAAACCCUGAAGGAGCGACGCCGCGUGGAGGAUGAAUGCUUUCGGGUUGUAAACUCCUGUCAUUUGGGAACAAAGCCUUACGUUAACUGCGUGGGGGUUUGAUAGUACCAGAAGAGGAAGAGACGGCUAACUCUGUGCCAGCAGCCGCGGUAAUACAGAGGUCUCAAGCGUUGUUCGGAUUCAUUGGGCGUAAAGGGCGCGUAGGCUGCGGGGUAAGUCGGGUGUGAAAUCUCAGAGCUCAACUCUGAAACUGCACUCGAUACUGCUCUGCUAGAGGACUGGAGAGGAGAUUGGAAUUCACGGUGUAGCAGUGAAAUGCGUAGAUAUCGUGAGGAAGACCAGUGGCGAAAGCGGAUCUCUGGACAGUUCCUGACGCUGAGGCGCGAAAGCCAGGGGAGCAAACGGGAUUAGAUACCCCGGUAGUCCUGGCAGUAAACGGUGCACGUUUGGUGUGCGCGGAUUCGACCCCGUGCGUGCCGGAGCUAACGCGUUAAACGUGCCGCCUGAGAGUACGUCGCAAGAUUAAAACUCAAAGAAUUGACGGGGCCCGCACAAGCGGUGGAGUAUGUUGGCUUAAUUCG